rnacentral:rRNA from 1 species
AGAGUUUGAUCAUGGCUCAGAUUGAACGCUGGCGGCAUGCCUUACACAUGCAAGUCGAACGGCAGCACGGGAGUAAUCCUGGUGGCGAGUGGCGAACGGGUGAGUAAUAUAUCGGAACGUGCCCAGUCGUGGGGGAUAACGCAGCGAAAGCUGUGCUAAUACCGCAUACGAUCUCUGGAUGAAAGCGGGGGACUCGCAAGAGCCUCGCGCGAUUGGAGCGGCCGAUAUCAGAUUAGCUAGUUGGUGGGGUAAAAGCCCACCAAGGCGACGAUCUGUAGCUGGUCUGAGAGGACGACCAGCCACACUGGAACUGAGACACGGUCCAGACUCCUACGGGAGGCAGCAGUGGGGAAUUUUGGACAAUGGGCGCAAGCCUGAUCCAGCAAUGCCGCGUGCAGGAUGAAGGCCUUCGGGUUGUAAACUGCUUUUGUACGGAACGAAACGGCUCUUUCUAAUAAAGAGGGCUAAUGACGGUACCGUAAGAAUAAGCACCGGCUAACUACGUGCCAGCAGCCGCGGUAAUACGUAGGGUGCGAGCGUUAAUCGGAAUUACUGGGCGUAAAGCGUGCGCAGGCGGUGAUGUAAGACAGAUGUGAAAUCCCCGGGCUCAACCUGGGACCUGCAUUUGUGACUGCAUCGCUAGAGUACGGUAGAGGGGGAUGGAAUUCCGCGUGUAGCAGUGAAAUGCGUAGAUAUGCGGAGGAACACCGAUGGCGAAGCAAUCCCCUGGACCUGUACUGACGCUCAUGCACGAAAGCGUGGGGAGCAAACAGGAUUAGAUACCCUGGUAGUCCACGCCCUAAACGAUGUCAACUGGUUGUUGGGUCUUUACUGACUCAGUAACGAAGCUAACGCGUGAAGUUGACCGCCUGGGGAGUAGGCCGCAAGGUUGAAACUCAAAGGAAUUGAGGGACCCGCA